GGGCUCACUUCAGCGGCACAUAUCCUAAAACUGGAAUAAUACAGAUUAGCAUGGCUCCUGAGCAAGGAAGACAUGCAAGUUCAUGAAGCACUUCAUAUUUUU